GUGGGAGGUGCCCUGCGGAGAUGUGCUCUGCCAAACUCAAACAGAACCAGUAUAGAGUUCAUGGAAGCAUUAAGGUUAUCAGGAGCUGUGAGCCUCAUUUCAGGAAAACCACUCUGGAUAAAGCUACCUGUACUUGCUGUCAAAUUCUUAGAGCAAUCUACAGAAAGUCCUGCUGUGAACGUGGUACAGUAGAGGUGUUACCCUGGAAUGCCGAGCUUUUAGCACAGCAAACUUGAGGCAUAACAAUGGUUCCUGCCUUCUAAUGAAGAAGAAAAUAAAACACGUUUUACAAAUGGAAAGUUUAAACAUUUGUGCAAGAAAGAAUGUACAUUGCAGCAAAUGAAAGAAGCUUAGAAAUAUACUGUCAACUGUCAUAAUGAAAACUUGCCUACUCAUGUCUGCGACUGAACCUUUUAAGAACUACCAUUCCUCUUUUCCCCCAGUGACACAGAGUAUUACCAAGAUAAACAUUUUGCCUCAUACUCAUAGUACGCACAGAGCUAGCUUUAACUUGUCCAUACUCUUUUCCAAUACCAGAAAAGGAGCAAGGUUAGCGUGAAGUGCUAUGGCUAUGUUCAUUCAUUGCCCUCAACUAUUACUUCUGUGACCUGCCAUCCAAAAAUCAGCAAGGCUUCAUUUCUUUGCUUAGGGAAACAUGCAACAAUAUUAUGCUUUGAACUUACUAUUUGGCUUUGUGAAUUAUUUGCAUUUUUGCAACAUGGAGAUUUCUAAGGGACAUGAACAUUACGC
rnacentral:lncRNA from 1 species